UACGUAGGGUGCAAGCGUUGUCCGGAAUUAUUGGGCGUAAAGAGCUCGUAGGCGGUUUGUCGCGUCGAAUGUGAAAACCCGGGGCUCAACCCCGGGCCUGCAUUCGAUACUGGCAGACUAGAGUUCGGUAGGGGAGUCUGGAAUUCCUGGUGUAGCGGUGAAAUGCGCAGAUAUCAGGAGGAACACCGGUGGCGAAGGCGGGACUCUGGGCCGAUACUGACGCUGAGGCGCGAAAGCGUGGGGAGCGAACAGG
rnacentral:rRNA from 1 species